rnacentral:rRNA from 1 species
GAUGAACGCUGGCGGCGUGCUUAACACAUGCAAGUCGAACGAUGAGGCCCAGCUUGCUGGGUGGAUUCGUGGCGAACGGGUGAGUAACAAGCGCGUAACCUGCCCUUCACUCUGGGAUAAGCCUGGGCGACUGGGUCUAAUACCGGAUAGGAGCGUCCACCGCAUGGUGGGUGUUGGAAAGAUUUAUCGGUUUUGGAUGGACUCGCGGCCUAUCAGCUUGUUGGUGAGGUAAUGGCUGACCAAGGCGAUGACGGGUAGCCGGCCUGUGAGGGUGACCGGCCACACUGGGACUGAGACACGGCCCAGACUCCUACGGGAGGCAGCAGUGGGGAAUAUUGCACAAUGGGCGCAAGCCUGAUGCAGCGACGCCGCGUGAGGGAUGACGGCCUUCGGGUUGUAAACCUCUUUCAGUAGAGAAGAAGCGAAAGUGACGGUACCUGCAGAAGAAGCACCGGCUAACUACGUG